rnacentral:rRNA from 1 species
UACGGAGGAUGCGAGCGUUAUCCGGAUUUAUUGGGUUUAAAGGGUGCGCAGGCGGAUUUUUAAGUCAGCGGUCAAAUCGUGGGGCUCAACCCCAUCCAGCCGUUGAAACUGGGGAUCUAGAGUGUGCGAGAGGUAUGCGGAAUGCGUGGUGUAGCGGUGAAAUGCAUAGAGAUCACACAGAACACCGAUUGCGAAGGCAGCUUACAAAUCUAUAUCGGACGCUGAGGCACGAAAGCGUGGGUAGCAAACAGG